GGUGAAAUGGCUGAAUUAUAGGUAAUAAAUUGUAAAUUUAUGUAUGAAAUUGAAAUUUCUUUCACCA
rnacentral:tRNA from 1 species